rnacentral:rRNA from 1 species
AUUGAACGCUGGCGGCAUGCCUUACACAUGCAAGUCGAACGGCAGCACGGGUGCUUGCACCUGGUGGCGAGUGGCGAACGGGUGAGUAAUACAUCGGAACAUGUCCUGUAGUGGGGGAUAGCCCGGCGAAAGCCGGAUUAAUACCGCAUACGAUCUACGGAUGAAAGCGGGGGACCUUCGGGCCUCGCGCACUAGGGUUGGCCGAUGGCUGAUGAGCUAGUUGGGGGGGUAAAGGCCUACCAAGGCGACGAUCAGUAGCUGGUCUGAGAGGACGACCAGCAACACUGGCACUGAGACACGCCCCAGACUCCUACGGGAGGCAGCAGUGGGGAAUUUUGGUCAAUGGGCGAAAGCCAGAUCCAGCAAUGCCGCGUGUGUGAAGAAGGCCUUCGGGUUGUAAAGCACUUUGUCCGGAAAGAAAUCCUUGGCCCUAAUACGGUCGGGGGAUGACGGUACCGGAAGAAUAAGCCCCGGCUAACUACGUG